rnacentral:snRNA from 1 species
CCACAGCAGUUUAUUGUCCGCUU